rnacentral:rRNA from 1 species
AUGAAAUCUUUGCAUCUUUUUCAGCUCAUCCAGCAUGCUCUGCUCUAUAGGACGGUGAUCGCAGGCUGUUCGCUUCUGUUUGCGCAGGAUAUUGUGCAAAAUUCCCAGUUUUUUGUGGUUUGCUCGCUAUGUAAAAAAUGCAGUUUAUUUGUAACGAUGCUUGUGGUUUGCUUGCUAUUUAAAAAGUGUAGUCCAUCCCAUCGGUCAUGUUUUUUGAGAAAACAAUUUGUAUUGUCACACAUGGUGGUUUCACUUAUGUGUAUGCUUGCAAUGCGGUGUGUGUAUGCGUGCAGUGCGCUCCUGUGGUUUCCUUUGUAA